rnacentral:sRNA from 1 species
GGAUUACUCCUUUACGCUUUCGCGUUUGGUUGAUAAAGAUUCGCACCUCUAUCAAACCGGGUAAUCCCACCUCUUGGCAAGACCUGCUGUCAGAUCAAAUCUGAACUACUACACCUCAUCAUUGCAAAUGUAGUGAAGUCAUCCAUUUUUCUAUGAUAAACAUCCGGGCUCUGUUCUGAGCCCGGAUAUUCGUUU